rnacentral:rRNA from 1 species
UACGAAGGGGGCUAGCGUUGUUCGGAAUUACUGGGCGUAAAGCGCGCGUAGGCGGUUUUGCAAGCCAGAGGUGAAAUGCCUGAGCUCAACUUAGGAAUUGCCUUUGGGACUGCGAGGCUUUGAGGACGGGAGAGGUGAGUGGAAUUCCCAGUGUAGAGGUGAAAUUCGUAGAUAUUCGGAAGAACACCAGUGGCGAAGGCGGCUCACUGGCCCGGUACUGACGCUGAGGUGCGAAAGCGUGGGGAGCAAACAGG